rnacentral:lncRNA from 1 species
GUAAAUCAUUCUAAGUGAGGCUUCCUAACAUCUUACUAGCCUAGGAUUAAUAUCAGCCCAUUUUUUGGAGGAGAACCAACAAGACUGGCUAUUUGACUGGAUCCCCCAAUUGGUUUACUCCAAGCAGCCCUGAGAAGUAAAUACUGUUGCUGUCAUCCCUAUUUUACAAAUGAGGAAACAAAAAUAGAGAAAUGAAGCAAUUUGUCCAAGAUCACUCUGCUGGCAAGCAACAGAACCAGGAGUUUAACCCAGAUCAUAGCAGAGAACAAACAAGGAGGAGGAAGAACAGGAGGAGGAGGGGGAAAAGAGGAGGAAGAAGAAAGAAAGAUUAAAGAAGAAGAAAGAAGGAAGGAGGAGGGGAGAAAAAGAAAAUAAUAAUAAUGAUAGUCUCAAUUUUAGACUAUUAUGUACCAUAUUAAGGACUUAACAUUCACUCCCUCACUCAUACAUUUUUUCAAGGUAUGACGGUAUGAAAUUUUUCAAACAAUCAUAACAUCUGCUAAAUUUUCAUUUCCUUACUACUCAUCUAUUUCAUUUAUUUUCUUAUUUUUAUUAGAAUAAUUUUAGUCAAUUCCAC